CUUAAACUUGGUCUCAUUUUUCAUUUUGGCACUCCAACUUUGCCUUGUUCCAUUUUAACCCUUGAACUCCAUUUUUUCUGUUCCAUUUUAACACGAAUUACUAUUUUUAUGAUUUCUUUAUUUUAUAUAUAUUCUUCAAAUGCAACUUCUUAUUUUAAAUUGACACGUGUCAGUUAAUUUUAGUUAGAAAAAUUAAAAAUUAACAAAAAAUAAUUCUUUUUAAAAAAUAAUAAUUUCUUUUUAAGAGUGUUAAGUAUUUUUGUGUGAAAAAUAACCGACAAAAUUGUGUUAGUUUUCUUUCUUAAAAAUCACCGACAACCUAAUAAAGUUAGUCAAGUUUUAAC
rnacentral:lncRNA from 1 species